UACGGAGGGUGCGAGCGUUAUCCGGAAUCACUGGGUUUAAAGGGUGCGUAGGCGGCCGGCUAAGUCAGGGGUGAAAUCCCGCCGCUCAACGGUGGAACUGCCCUUGAUACUGGCCGGCUCGAAUGGGCGCGAGGCGGGCGGAACGUGGCAUGUAGCGGUGAAAUGCUUAGAUAUGCCACAGAACACCGAUUGCGAAGGCAGCCCGCCAGAGCCUCAUUGACGCUGAGGCACGAAAGCGUGGGGAGCGAACAGG
rnacentral:rRNA from 1 species